AUAGACGGAAGUGAACCAGAUUUAACCAGAGGUAAGGAAUCGUUUUGUUCAGUUGUUGGACCUGGUUGGUGCCUUGACAAUUUGGCGAUCCAGACCUCGUUUCAGCAAUUGUCGGCGGGAGACGGCGGCGUAUUGAUGGACGCGAACAUGCUUGUAGGUGUUUAUUUCAAUUAAGCAGUUGUCCUCUUUGUCGUAGGGUGUUGAGGAAGGUUUUAAGUUUGAGCGGAGAUACAGGAAGUCUGAUUUGUAUCCUGGUUUAUUCAAGGACAAUCGGUUGUCAGCUGGUGGGAAAGUGAAGGAGACUCAUAGUGUUUGGAAGGAGCAUUCUAGACAUAGUACUCGGGCUCCUAAUCUGACAUAUAGGAUUGAGACUUUUGGGAGGAUAUGUAGUAGUUUUGAUGAUAAAAAAAAAAUUGGGUGAUGGAAAUGGGUUUUGGUGGUUUGCUAAACAUUCCUAGUGAUCUGCAACUUCUGAGACAACUUGGUUAUUGGUUAAUGACCCGAAUAGACCCCAUUAGUAAGAAAUUCAUUGGAGGUGAUGGAACAGAAUUUAGGUUUUCAAAGAAUCAACUGCAUUGGGUUUUUGGGAUUCCUAAUGGUGGGAAACCUGUACCCACCACCAAAAGAAUCGUUACUGAUGAAGUUCGGGCAGUGAGCAGCCAGAUUUUGAGCAUGUAUGGAAAAUCAUGGCAGAGUAAGUCUAGCAGGCACGUAGGGAGAUUAUAUAAUUCAAGAGGAAUACAUGUUGAUUCAAAUAUUUUGGAUAAGGUUGAGGGUCAUUGAGGGAAGGAUGAAGAAGUUCAAUUUAAAAAUUUGUUUCUGUUGCUGGCACUCCAUAUGGUACUUUGUCCCACACAAACGUCACGUCUAGCAGCAUAACUCAUUCCUGCGUUAACGUGUGCUCCUGAUUGCUCAAGCUAUGAUUGGUGUGGACUUGUGCUGGAUAAUUUGAUGGAAUCUGUUUGUAGCUUUGCUAGUCAUUUUUAUGGCACUGGAUUUGCUACUGGGUGUGGUGGCUGAGUCAUUUUUGUUGUGGUAAUUAUAAUUUUUGUGCUAAUGUUUGUGGUUUAUAUAGCAAUAUUGCUUGUUUGUGUUCCUUCCUUUCCCUACUGAUUACUUUACAUAUGCUUGUAGAUUUUUUAUCUUGACCGAUUGAACAGAGAUCCUGUUGAUUGGGAUUUUUUUUCCCCGUAUUAUGGUUUGGGACAUGGCUUCCAUUUGUAAUGUAGCUAGGCAAGAAAGAGUACCUGAUGGUGAUUUUGGAAAUUUUGGGAUGCUUGACGUGGCUUAUGGAGAGCAUCACUCAAGGGAGGCUAGAGAUACAAAAGGACCGCAACUUGUAUAUCAUGUGAAUAGUGGCGGCAGCACCUAGAGAACGAGUGGAGUUAAAAAGAGGAGGAGAGCCAGGAGUGAGAAAAACCUUUUUAUGCGAAACAUGCCGAAGACAGAGUCUGAGAUUUGUAUUUCCAAUUUGACACCCUUGUAUGUUGGUCAAUGUUCUACCGCCGCGUUUCCUUCGGAUGUCAUUGUCCAUUUGAGCAAUGGUCAUAAUGGAACCGGAGGUGCACCUCACAAUGAUGUUGGUGUUUGUGAGGUGAAUGUUUUUUUCAAAAUUAAUGGCCAGCUGAAUGUUCGAAUUCACAGCUCCCAUUGCUCUGAUAUUUUUAUUUCAUUGAAAAGGAAUGAAAUAGUUGUGCUUGGUAGUGGUUGCACGUAUACAAAUUUUGAAGACUUGAUGAGAAUGGUGGCUCAUCUCCAAUCUUCAAUUAAGGAUCAUUUGAAAUGUCCAACUACGGGUUGUUGUUGGCGAGUAAGGCAAGUUAGCAACAUUCCAAUUCUGCACAGAGUAAAGUGAUACCAUGUUAUGCAAUUAAACUGUGUAAAUGAACCAUGUUUGUUGGAUGUGGGUUUUAGUGUAAUAAAAUAAUUUUGACUAGUCUGUAGCAUUAUACUAAUAAUGUAUGAAAUUGAAAUUUGUGGUGAGUUUGAUCACAUUUACUUUAUUUGAUAUGUAUAAUUAUUAACUAUUUGUUCAACAA